GGAUAUUUCUAUUUUGAUGAUGGACAAGUACAGGCCUUCAGAGCCAUACAACAGCACAAGUGUACAGAGGACCGUCCAAUGUGAUCUCCGUGUCAUCUUCUCCCCGAAGUGUUGUUUGGUUGGCAAAGAUACGUACAGCAAAAUCGAGCUCACAAAUGGACAACCGAGUGACAACGAAAGUACUACAAAGUAGUGUGUGGCACACAGAACAAAUAUUCUAGAUAGCCGGGUCCUCCUUUUUUGCGAAUAUUUCUUUUCUUUUCCUGAAAUGCCAAAAUAGCACUGUAAAGUGUACACGAAUUACUCGCAGGAAUGGAAUAUGUACCAUCUUUAUUCAUUUAAUUUAACAUGCUGCAGCACUGUAAAGUGUACGAGGUUAUUAGAACUUGCCCAACAUACCCAGCAUCAGGCCAUCACAAAACAUAUCUUACAACGAAUGUAUAUUCACAUAACAUAGCGAUUUCUAUACAGCAAAACGACACAACUUGACACGGUAACAUGUACUUGUACUACUACUGAUCGUAAGCUUGGCUCGGUGGUGUCAACUUAACUUAAUUACUUUUUACGAGUAGUUCUUGCUGCCGAAGAUGCUUCGGAGCUUGCCGCGCUCCUCCAGCCGCUCCAGCAGGUCCCGGGCGCCGGCGACCUCCAUGUCCGACAGCUUCUUCAGGUACCCGAUGGCGCCGUGCGAGACCAUCGGCUUCUUGCACCGCUUCGCCGGCGACAGCGUCGCCAGGCACGCGAUGGCGUACUUCUUCGCCGUGUUCGCCGGGCUGGGGUCCAGCAGCUGCACCAGGCUCGGCACGCUCCUCUCGUCCCGCCGCACCUCCCGCGCGUUGCCCGGGUGCCCCGCCGCCAGGCUCGCCACCGCCUGCGCCGCCACCUCGCGCGCGCCGGCCGACUUAGCCUCCAGCAUCCGGACAAGUAGUGGGAUGCACCCGUGCUCGCCCACCAUCCGCUUCAUGUCCUUGCUGCCGCUGGCCGCGAUCCUGCAGAUCGCCGCGGCCGCCGCCUGCUGCGCGCCGGUUGACCCGGCCCUGAGCGCGUGCGCCAGCCGCGGGAGCACGCCGAGGGACACGAUGGUGUCGGGGGAGAUGGCGUCCACCAUGUUCCCGAGCGCGCGCACCGCGGACUCCUGCGGCGACGGCGCGUCCAGGUAGAGGAGCAGGCUGCGCAGCCCGCCGUCGUGCGCGACGGCGCGCCGGAAGCUGUCGCCGCCCGACGUGAGGUUCUGCAAGCAGUCGGCGGCGUGCUCCUUGGAGCCCAGCACGGUGCCGUAGUCCAGCAGACUGACCAUGACGCGGACGAUCCCUUCGUCGGCCAGCGCUUGCCGCGCCUCGGGCGCCGCGGAGAGGUUCUUGAGCGCGCCGGCCGCCGCGGACUGGGACACGGAGUCCCCCGUCUGGCAGAUCUCGAUGAGCGGGCGCACGCCGCCGUGGCCGGCGAUGGCGCGCGCGACGUCGGGGGACGCGGAGAGGCGCUGCAGCGUGAGGACGGCCUUCUCGCGGCCGACGAGGCUGCUGCCGGACUCUGCCAGCCGGAUGAGCGGCGGCAGCGCGCCCUCCGACACGAGCAGCCCCUCGCAGGCGCCACCCCCCGACUCGGCGAGCCGGCAUAUCACCAUGGCGGCCUUCUCCCGCGCCUUGGGCGCCGGCGCCGUGAGCAGCUGCACCAGCGCGGACACGUUGGCGCGGCCGAGCAGCGACACCACGCUCUUCUCGUCCCGGUUGAGCGCGUCGAGCAGCCCGUCCACCGCGCGGCUCUUGGCCUCGGCGUGCCCGAUCUGCAGCCGCGCGAGCAGCUCCCGCACGUCCGCCUGCGCCGUCGCCGGGGCGGUGACGGCGGAGGCGUCGGAGUCGGACAGCACGCCGGUGCGGACGAGCAGCGCGCAGUCCCGGAGGUUGACGUCGAGCCGGGCGCCGAGCGCGUCGAUGGCGCUCUGCGUCUGCAGCUUCCCGUCCCUCGGCGGGCCCCGGCACCGCGAAGCAAGCUCCGCCGCAUCGGCGAGCGUGGCGGCCACGGAGUGCAGCAGCUCGCGGCAGAGCGCGUUCCGGGCGAAGCAGGGGUGGCUGGACAGGUCGGACAGGCGCGCGGGGAGCGUGCCCAGCUUGGCCGCGAUCGCCUUCCACCGGCCGGGGAACCCCUCCGCGGCCGUCGCCGCGCCGACCGCCGGCGGCACCAUCCCCCUGACGCGCGCCAGCAGCUCCUCCGCCGUCUCAACCCCGGGAGCAGCGGCCGCCGGGUCGCCCCGCACACUCAUGCCUGGUCGCCUGGAGAGUGGAGGCCCGUGAUCUGGAGUGGCCGAGGAGAACGGUCGUCGUCGCUAGCUGGCCUGACUGGCUCGUCAAGGCUGUGGUGAAGGCAGGGAGGGAACAAACGAAAGAGGUAGCAGGGGUGGCAGAGUGGCAGGGGAAGGAGGAGGAAUCGUCUACGACUACGAUGAUCUCCCUCCCUCCCUGGCCACUGUUUCUUUAAGCGAAAACUAGUGGCGGCGUCGCUUUCGUUUAGGCAGCCAUUGGCGUCGCGGCAGCGGCUAUCGUGGGGAGAUACGGGCGGCCAUGAGCGGCACGCCGAGCCAAGAUACCAAAAUCCAAAAUCCAAGCCAUUUCUACUCGUACUCGAUCGAGAUCUCAGUUGGGGUGAGGAGAAGAGAUGUGUGGGUUGGUAGAAAGGGGGGCGUGUCGGGUCGGAAUUCACGUUGGUUUGACGGACGGACCCUGUUGUUUUGUGUUCUUGAUGGUGGUGGUUUAGUGGGAAGUGGUUAAGAGACUUGGGACAGACGGACAGUGCGGGGGGCGUGGACUCGAGGGAAUGAGACGAAUGACGGGCACCAAAGGCAAGAAGAUCAGGUGUGAGCAAAAUGAAAUGGCGACUCUUUUAUUUUAUGAGGAAAUGUGGUGCAUGUUACUGGUGGUGGUGGUGCAUGUUGCCGAAGCAGGCGGGCACAGUCUCAGCAGACCCCACUUGCAAACAACUGCUCACCUACAGAUUACCCACGCAACUGUUCAAAAGAAAAUUAGUACUAGCCAAUAGACAUCAUUCAGAUAGUAG
rnacentral:rRNA from 1 species